GAGGGUGUAAGUCAAUGGUAGGGUGCAUGCCUAGCGUGCAUGAAGUCCUGGGUUCAAUCCUCAGUACCUCA
rnacentral:tRNA from 1 species